CCACCCCGGCCGGGAGGGUCGCGGAGGCGCGCGCGUGUGCCCGCGUGGGGGGAGAGGGGGGGGUCUCCCGCGCCAAAACGGCCAUGAGGAAAAGCUGGACAGUCGCUGCCCUGGUCGGGGGAGUGGGGGGUGGGGUACGAAGAUGCCCCCUGAGAGUCACCGCAGCCAUUCGGGUGCCGCGGUUCGUUGCCUUUUUAAGCGCAAGGUAGCGCAGACCCCAAAGUCCCCUGAGCGAGGCUCCGGCUCUGGGUCGAGUUUGCCCCGCCGGAGCUCAGCAUGCAUGCGGACGAAAGGUGUGUUCGUGUGAAACCGUGAACACGGGGGAAAGCGCCUUUGAACACGUGCAGAGUGUUCGUCCCUCGGCGCGGAGUAAGCGCAGCCCGGGAGGUACCUGGCUUCCACGUCGAAGGGUGGUGCGCGCGCUUUCCAAGUAGGCUCAAAAGCGGCGGAAACGAUCUUGGACUAUUUUGGUAUUUUAAUAUCGCGCCUUAGGGCUUACCGAAAAAGUUAAAGUAAGCAAUGGGCGUCCUUGCAAGCGCGCACGGAGAAUAAAGUCGGGCUAGUAUACUAGCAGCUCUUACUUAGCCCCGAGAGCAUCACUUUUUAUUAUUAUUCAUUGAUUAGUAAAGCAGUUUCACAGAGCCCAGAUUUUGAACUUUUUUUGCUUGCUUUUGUAAUAGGCAGCAAUUCAGUAGAUGCGCUUGCUGAACUUGUACAUGUCAUUCACUGUCAAAGGCACUGUGGCCCUGACAGAAUUGGAGAUACCCUGUUCUUCUGUGCAAAGUUCAUUUUUUUAAAAUGGGAAGGAGGGAUUGUAGGAUAGAGCUGUUGCUUUGCCCCAGGUUCGGUCUCUGGAAUUAGUUUUAAAAAUAAUCUGAUAAUGGGGGAAACGUAUGCUUGAGACCAUGCAGACUCACUACCUUUCAUACAAGACAAUACAGAUGGGCAGAUAGUUUGAACUGGCCUCUUAUGUCUGUAUUUACCAAAUGCAGCUGUCUCUCUUGUAACACAAUAAUAGGCUAAUCUUCCCAUGCAUAUAUGGCCACUCACAUACAGAAAUGAGACCCCAUGCUGCACCUAAAAAAUUGCUGAUACAAAGCAUGCAGCUUCCCAAAUGUGCGCUUGUAUGCACUACACUUGUUUUCCACCUGAACAAUAAAACGAGUGGGCAGUCUGCUUUUUGUUGAGUGUCACAUUCCCUCAGAGGAAUCGGUCAGGGACUAUAUGCCAGUGCUGAGCAGAGCUAGAGCUGCAUGGUGGGGGGAUAAAGAUCUGGCCCACCUAGCCAAAAAAGGUUCACCCAUGAUGUGUUUUUUGAAACUGAUACUGCACAUUUCACAUAGGUCCAUACCAAAAACUGAAUUUGUAACAUACUGUAUGCUUAAAUCUUAUGGAUUCAUUUCACUUUAGAUCUUCACUCAUAGGGAGUCAUACUUUGACCUUUAUUAUAUCAGUUGUUCCACCAUAGCUACUCUUCACACGUAAGUUUAAUAACUAUAGUGGGAUCUGAAGAGCUACUUCAGGGAAUGCUAUGGUUUUAUUUUUCUUUCAGUAGCAAAUAUUAGAAACCACUUUUGAAAGUCCUUUAAUUGUGCUAUGUUGCAAGUGGGGUUUCAGUCCUUAGCUCCUUUGGAUCUUGCCCUAUACAUUUUAAGACUCCUAGGCAAAAUAUAUUUUAAUAUGUUGUUACAGAUUUCUAGCAUUAAGCUUAUAGUAUACUAUGGCAGCAUACUAUAAAAAAUUACUUAGUUGCUUGGAAUAACACAGAAUUCACUUCUUUAGUAAGAAAAGGGGUAAUGGUAAGAGGAGGGGAACAAGAACAAAUUUUCCAGAUACUUACUGAGAGCCGAUACAGAUAAAUUUCUAAGUGAGAACUGUAAGCAAACUGAAUUACUCCACCACCUGCAACUCCUGAAGAUAAGGCUGAAGGUUAACAUUUCUACAGCUAAUUAUAAUCUCAUUACACUUCCCCUUUGUCCAUAUAGAUUAAUAGUCACUAAAAUAGAACCAUACAGACAUUAAUCAUAGUGAAUAUGAUACAGUGAGAAAUGGAACUGUGACACUACAUAUUACCAGCUUAACAUGCAGCUAGAUUGUUAUUUUUCUCAAUUUGGAUCAAAGCUGGUUUGGGUGGAAAUACAUAAAAAUGUGAUAUUUCAUAAGAAAUUAUAGGAAUGAUAUAGGACAGAUGCGGAUACCAGGAAAGGUCCUAGAACAGAUAAUUAAACAGUGAGUCUGUGGACAGUUAGAAAAGAAUGCAGUGAUUACUAAGACUCAGUAUGAAUUUUUCAAAAACAAGUCAUGCCAGACGAAUCUCUCUCUCUCUCUCUCUCUCUCUUGAUAGAGCUACAAGCCUGGUGGAUCAGCGGAAUACUGCAGACCUGGUGUAUCUUGAUUUCAGUAAGGCUUUUGACAAAGUCCCACAUGCGAGGAAACCGGUAAGAUGUGGGCUGGAUGAGGUAACUGAAAGUUGGAUUUGUAGCUGGUUGACUGACCAAACCCAAAGAGUGCUUGUUAAUUAUUCCUCCUCGUACUGGAAAAAAGUGAUAAGUGAGGUGUCCUGGGCCCAUUGUUCUACAUCUUUACAAAUGACUUGGAUUUAGGUAUUGAAGGGAUUCUCAUCAAAUUUGCAGAUGACACCAAACUGGGAGGGGUAGCCAAUGGGACAGAAGACAGAAUCAAGAUUCAAAAUGACCUUAUCAGAUUGGAGAACUGGGCCCAAAGUGAAACUAACAGAAUGAAAUUUGUUAAAUGUAAUGUAAGGAUAAAUGUGAGGUUCUACACUUAGGCAAGAAGAACCAGCUGCGCCAAUAUAAUACGGGGGACACCUGCCUUGCCAGUAGUACAUGUGAAAAGAAUCUAGGGAUCUACUGACUACAAACUUAACGUGAGUCAACAGUGUGAUGCAGCAGCAAAUAAGUUAAUACUGUUUCAGCCUGCAGCAACAAGUAUACUGUCCCUAUCAAUGGAAGUAAUAGUACCACUCUAGUCUGCCUUGGUUAGACCACACCUGGGGAUUGGAUAGGAAGUACUGGAGCUUCCCUGAUGGAACAAAACUUAGCUUGAACUACCAAGUUUUCUCCAGUUCCAUUGUAGGGACACAAGACUCAUGGCUAAAGAAAAGCCAAUCUACACAUGGUCUUGGGGCAUGUGUAGAGUUCCAGUUGAACUGAGCUUCUGAGCAUCAUCUUUCCCAGCCCUACCUGGAGAUGGCAGGGCUUUUAACCUGGGGCUUUCUGCAUGUAAAACAUGCUAGUAUUGGAGCAGAGGCUAUUAUUAAAUAAAGCACUUGCUCUACAAACCAUUGGCCCACGGCUAGAAUGAAAUCUUUUAAUUGUGUGAUGAUUAAUUGUACGGAUAUGCCAAAUAAUGUAGAAUGUCACCCGCAUAUACUGCAUCCUUUAUUCUCAAAUGAGAAGUGUCCUUCAUGCUUUGCAGUUGGCUGAAUGCCAGCUGCAGCAGAGAGGCUCCCUGAAAAACAGUGUUAUAAUAUAUAUAAAGGGCACCCUUGUCUUUGCUAGCAGACAAACCCUUAGUUAAUUAAUGGCUCUGCUUGUAUGGAUGCAUGGUUUCUGAGCUUCCUUUGGUUCUAACAAAGUCUUUGUUUACGAAAUGUGCUUAUUAAAACGAGUUAAUAUGUUAUUUUACUGCCUGCAGCCACAUAACGUUAAUUUUAUCUUUGUAGAACUAUCUCUGUAUAACUGCCCCCCAAUAAAAAAAACCCAGGACCAGGGCCAUGCUACAAGGCAAUAGGUUUUUAACCCAGGUGUGGGAUACGUGACCCUACAAAUCUACUCAACUCCAACUUCCAUCAGCCUCAUCAAGGUCAGGAAUUAUUCGAAUUGUGGUCCAAUAACACCCAGCCAUGGUGCCCCAACUCCUGCAUAACCAUUUAUCCCCACACCAUAACUGUUGUUUAUUCAUUCAGUCAUUCCAGGAUGGAUGUUUACAAUCAUGCUAUUUCAAAUGCUGUUUGCAACCACUAAGACUCAGGCAGAAGUGCAUAUUGUCGCAUGCCACCCCAAUCUCUGAGCGGUGUGAGAUUCCAGGGGCUUCCAGGUUGCUUUCCCAGAGUUUGGUUUCCUUGGAAUGAAGGAGACAGUGGAGACUGUGUUGUCUUGAUGAUAUAUGGUUUAUUUGCACAUCUAUACAACGUAAACCUAAGAUGGAGUGGCUCACAACAUUAACACCUUCUGGACCUCUCGUGGAGGAGGCACACGAAGAAGGAUCUCAGUGAGCUCAAGGUCCAGGUAGGUUCAUAUGGAAAGAAGUGGACCUUUGAGGUAUUGAGGUCCUGAGCCGUUUAAGCAUUUAAAAGUCAAAACCAGCACUUUGAAUUUGGCCCGGAAACUACCUGGAAGCCAGUGCAGUUGGGUCAGGAUCGGUGUAAUAUGUUCAAACUGUCUUGUCGUGGUUAUUAUAGUUCUGGGAGGGGAAUAGGGUCUCCUGACAACUCUCAGCACCAACAAAAUAUAACUCCCACAAUUCCUUGGAGGAAGCCCAUGCUGUUUAAAGUGGCAUGAUACUUCUUUAAAAGAUGAAUUGGAUGCAUUUGUAUAUUUCACAUACUGUCUUCACUUUGUUCCUCAGGAACACAGUGUGUGUUUAUGUUCUUUUGAGAGAGUCCUUUUAAGGAUCUUUUUAAUAGUAUUGGACAAAGUGUUCAUGUUGAAUGUACAUCAUUAAUCUAAUCUUUCUGACAGAUCAGGUCCUAACACUUUGGAGAAAACCAGCCCGCCACGCCAUAUAUUAAAAGCACUCCUGUGUCACUUAACAGUCAUGGCUUUCACCAAAGAAUUAUGGGAACUAUGGUUUGGUAAGGGUGCUGAAAGUUAUUAGGAGACCGCCCCCCUCACAGAGCUACAGUUCCCAGCACAGUUAAUAAACUACAGUCCCCAUAAUUCUUUAGGAGAAUCAGGACUGUUAAAGUGCUUUAAAUUUAUUAUAUGGAUAUGAUUGAGUCACUAAUAUCCUUUUAGUUGCACAUAGGCAGGAUUAUUUUCUUCCAUCUUAAGCACUAGAUAAAAUAUUACAGCUCAGUGGUACUUCAAUAGCUAGAAGAUCGUUAAAGAUGAUCCUUUUAGAUUCCAAUCUUAUAACACUUACCUGGGAGUAAGUCCCACUAGACUCAAUGGGAAUGACGUUGUUAUAAAUUCUGCUCGUAUUGAUCCAUGACAGAACUCCAAUGUAUAGUUAGCAGAGUAAAAACUUGAAACAUGUUGCAAGACUCCCCCCAAAAUAGACCAGAGGCAACUAUAUUUCAUAUACCAGAAUUUACUAUUGCUGCUGAAGGUAAAUGAGCAUAAUGGUCACAGAUCCAAUACAUUCAGGAUUGGCACUGUCCAUAAGAAAUCAAUUUGCAGCAGAAUUAACCUAAACUUAUAAUAACUUAACAUUAAGACUAAAACCUUAACACUAAGUGUACUAUGUACAGAACACCACACUGUUAUUAUAGUCAGCAUGACCUUGAGUGAAAGAGAUAACAGAAGCAGUCCAAACCAGCUGUUCAGCUUCUCCGAAGGAAUAACCCAAACAUCAGGAACCUUCUGCCUGUUUUUCAGGCAAAAUAGAGAAUUCCUUGUCAGUUAGUGUGGCGUUUGCCCAUUCUUUGGGGAUAUGUUUGUAUUGGGGGAGAGAAGGGGUUACUAGGUUGACCAAUAAGAAAGCCUGAAGGCGGAGCCUACCUGAUUUUGAGGCUCAGCCCAGAAGUUUUGACAGUUAGUUUGGUUGGUUCUUUUGGGGGGGAGAGGUAGAGGAGUCAGGGUGAGUUAGAGACAGGGACAAGACUGAGAGGGAAUAGAGUGACAGCGUUUCGAAUAUAUUUUAAAACUUGUUUUUGUUUGAAAUAAACUUUAAUCUUCAUUGUUAACUCUACAUGACUGAGACUCAAUACUUCACCGGGGAACCCUGGGGUUUUUCCACAAAAUUGGUGGCAGCAGAAGAAUAAAGUAGUGGUGUACAGGUCAAUAGUCCGUGAAACAACUGGGGGCUCUGUACAAACUCCACAGUUAGAAACCUCCGUCUUGCACUAGCUUGCAUCGCACAGAGAAGCUUCCAGAACCCUCUUGAAUCAAUUAGAAUAGGAAAGAGCUCUACACAUCAGAUCAAUACUUUCUUCACCAAAAAAAUGCAAACUGACAGACACUUCAAAAAUCAGGAAUAACUUCUUCACAGUCAUGCAGCAUUUGAAUUCUUCAUUCACAUAAAAUAAUAAAUUAUAUCCCUUAUACAUAUAUGCAAUAAUCAACAACAAAGAGAGAUGGGCAAAAGGUACACAUUAAUAUGAUGUUUCUCCACUAAACUGACAUUCCGCACAGGACAGAAUUGGAAACAACCGAAGAACAAUACAGUGGUCCCUUGGGUUAAGUACUUAAUUCGUUCCGGAGGUCUGUACUUAACCUGAAACUGUUCUUAACCUGAAGCACCACUUUAGCUAAUGGGGCCUCCUGCUGCACCGCCGGAGCCCGAUUUCUGUUCUUAUCCUGAAGCAAAGUUCUUAACCUGAAGCACUAUUUCUGGGUUAGCGGAGUCUGUAACCUGAAGCGUAUGUAACCCGAGGUACCACUGUAAUACCUAGUACUGUAUGUGUGUCAAGACUCAGUUGCUGAGGUCUUCUCAUGGGACGAUGUUAGCACUUGCUCCUGAGCUUCAGCUGACCUUUACCAGGGUCUGAGCCCUUAAUGUUGCUGGCCCUGCCCUCCUUGCAAACAGUAGUUCAGUAGGAGUCAUCCCUGCUUCUUUCCAGAUGCCUUCUAAAAAACUAAUUCAGACAAGCCUUUCAUAUCUGGAAUUCUCUGCUAAACAGCUCCUAUUGGUGUGAUUUUUUAAAAUUGUUUUCAUUGUAAUAGUGUGUUUUGAGUCUGUAUGCCACCUCAUUAUAUUCUAGAUGAAAGUGCAGUUUAUAAGUAAGUAAGUAAGUAAGUAAAGGGAUGCACAAUCUGCGUAGUAUUAUUUAGCUUUAUAACAGGCUUAUGAUAUAGAACCAUCAUAACACAGUGACCUGAAUGGUGCCUGCUAUGGGAGCUUAUCACUAAAAUCUCUCUGCUGACUAAGCUACAGCAUGCUCUCUUCAUUAUGUAAACCACUCUGGAACAAAUUUUAAUGAAUGGUGAAAUAUAAAUAUUUC